GCAGACAGCCCGGCGAACCGCGCAAUGCGCUUCUUCUGCCUGCAGCAGAGAAAAGGAAAGAAAACUCCGCAGGGGCUCCGUUGGCUUCUCCACGAGUGACAACCAUGUUUUCCCAGAUAGAAGACCGGAGCCCUGCUCCUUUGCGAUCCGCCGAGGGCUGCAGAGAGCAUCCUCAUCCAUUUGGGCACCCCUGCCCAGGAAGAGCCCGGCCAUCCCUUUCCGGACUGGAUCCUUAAGAGGUGAAUUUUCUUCCGUGGAUUCCGAUUUGCUCCGUCUGACCAGCCUAGGCAAUCCAGCAUCGCGUGGUACCAGUGCCGCUGGGCACACUGGCUUCACGCCGGCUCCGCCUCACCAGCAAGCGCAUUCCCAGAGGAGAAAAUGAGACACUGAGUGGGACUCAGGGAUUGCUCCAGGCCACACAGUCAGCAGGAGGCAAAGCCCAGAUUCAAAUGCAGAUUACUCAGCUCCACAAUCCACAUCCUCACAGGAGGCUGCACUCCUUGCCCAAGCGUCAGACAGGAGCAAAGAGAAAGAAGGCAACCAGCUGGCUACUUUCUUCCCUUCUUGGAUGCCUCCAACAGGGUGAGAAGGACUAAACAAAUGACCAAGUGUCAUCCCAUUUUGGACAUACUUAAAACACCCCAUGGAAUUUUUAUUCUGACUUUCUUCUGCCUGUGUGGCAUUUAUGUUUAAAUAAAAGAGAAUUCAACUCGUAUGUCUGAUAUCUUCAUGACUAGUUUGCCAGGGAUAGUCCCCAUGUACACUUUGUUGUAUCGUUGACCUGUUCAGUUUAGCAUUUGCUCAGGGAUUUCCAUUUUUAACCUAGUGCUAUUAGCAACAGUUGUGUUAAACAUGCUAAGAUGGGUCUGGUGAACUUUGACUUUUCGAGCUUCAGUCUGGUCUCAGCAAGGAGUAACUGAGAUUUUGUGCAGUGAGCAGAGUUCCGACUUUAACACAUGGUUAAAUCUGAUUGACUUCCAACCCUCUCUAAACACAAAGUAACUAACAGCAACUUCCCAAGUACAUUGCUACAAGCUGAAUAUUUAUGUUCCCUCCAACAUUCAGAUGCUGAACUCCUUACCCCAGUGUGAGGGUAUUUGGAGGUGGGACCUUUGGGAGAUUCGGUCUUCAUAAAUGGGAUUAGUGCCCUUAUAAAAGAAAUCACAGAGAGCUUCCUCUCUCCUUCUACCAUGUAAGGAUGCAGCAAGAAGACACCAUGAACCAGGAAAUAAAACACUAACUCAGAGAAGAAAUUUAACUGCAAAUUUGGUUAAUGACCAUGGAUUCCUAAUGAGAAGAAAAGCUAGACACUGAGAGUUUAGAAUAAACUCAAGAAUCUUAAAAAUUUUCCCAUGGAACUGCCUUUGCACCUCUAUAAAAAAUUAAUUGACCAUAUGCUUAUUUCACCAACUAGAACUUCCAAUAAAACAUUGAAUAGAAGUGAUGAGAGUGGAUAUAUUUGCCUUGUUCCUGAUUUUAGAUGAUAAACAUUUUGUCUUUCACUUUAGAUAUGAUGUUAGUUCUAGGGGCUUUUUGAAGAUGAGCAUUAUUAUGUUGCAAAGGUUCCAUCCUCCUUCUAGUUUGUGAGGAAAUUUUUAUCUUAAAUGGACAUUGAAUUUUAUCAAAUGCCUUCCCUGCGUCUAUUGAUAUGACCACAUGGUUUUUCUUAAGUCUAUUAGUAU
rnacentral:lncRNA from 1 species